UGCACUUCUUGCUGGAUAGUUGGCAGCCAAAGACUGCUCUUGCGACCAAGAUACUUGCACCAUUUUUUGUAGUUUUUGAAAAGUUUCUUCAUAACAUCAGUAAGUGCCAGGUCAUCCAGCUUUGGUUGUUGAUCAAGCUUUGGAAAUUGUCGGAUGUGGACAUUAGCCAACAACAGAAUCAGAUGCUCCCGCUGAUUCGCCACAUUAUCUUUCUGAAAACCAAACAUAGCUUGA
rnacentral:misc_RNA from 1 species